CGUUCCCCUUCGGGGGACAGGGUGACAGGUGGUGCAUGGUGUCGUCAGCUCGUGUCGUGAGAUGUUGGGUUAAGUCCCGCAACGAGCGCAACCCUCGACCUUAGUUGCCAGCAUUCAGUUGGGCACUCUAAGGUGACUGCCGGCUAAAAGUCGGAGGAAGUGGGGAUGACGUCAAAUCAUCAUGCCCCUUAUGACCUGGGCUACACACGUGCUACAAUGGGCGGUACAAAGGGUCGCGAACCCGCGAGGGGGAGCCAAUCCCAAAAAGCCGCUCUCAGUUCGGAUUGCAGGCUGCAACUCGCCUGCAUGAAGCCGGAAUCGCUAGUAAUCGCGGAUCAGCAUGCCGCGGUGAAUACGUUCCCGGGCCUU
rnacentral:rRNA from 1 species